AUGUAUUUUUUCUUCAAGAGAGACGAACCAGUGUCAGGCAGGCAGCCAGGCUUCAGACCCUGCUGCUGCCCGAGAACUGGGGCCUCGUGCCCGCUUCCCCUCAUGCCUCCAGUGCAGAACUGGAAUACCGCAUGGCAGAGACUGAUGGGAGCGAAGGAGAGGUUGUGCCCAACUCCUGGCCUUGCUCCUUGCUGCCGCACGAAGACUUGGACACAUCACGAAAGUUCUUGACUCUAUUUCCUCAUCUGUGAAAUGGGGAUGUUAACUACCCUCUUAUGGCGCUCUCAAGAAAGUCAAAUGGAACAGUGUUUUCCAAAGUAGGAAAUAUUCAGUUGUUUUUGAAAGCACCUAAGAGGUCAAGUAAGAAAAGGCAAAGGAGAGAGGAUUAAGAUGGUGGAAUAGAAGGACUGGAGCUCAACUUCUCUCCUAAAAACAACAAAAUUCACAACUAAAGGCUGAGAAGUCUCCACCUAAAUGGACCAGAAACCUUAAAAAAGAUACCCUACUCCAGAAGAAAAAGAGGAGGCCACAUCAAGAGGAAGGAGGAGCGAUUUCGUGAUAUAGACAACCCCAUACCUCCUGGGUGGGAAGCUCCACAGACUGGAAACUAACUGGUUCACAGAGACUCACCUGCAGGAGUGAGAGCUCUGAGCCCCACAUCAAACCCUCACGUUGUGGGGAUCUGGCACUGAGAGAAAGAGCCCCUGGAGCAUCUGGCAUUGAAGGCCAGUGGAGCUUGUGCACAGGAGCUCCACAGGACUGGGGGAAACGGAGACCCCAUUCUUAAAAGGCACACAUGGACUUUCACGUGCACUGGGUCCCAGGGCAGAGUGAGGUCUCCAUAGGAAUCUGGGUCAAACCUGACUGCAGUUCUUGGAGGACCUCCUGGGAAAACAGGGGUGAAUGUGGCUUGUUGUGAGGGACGGACAUUGAAAGCAAAGCUCUCAGGAAUAUUCAGCAGUGUGGCUUUCUCUGGAGGUGGCCAUUUUGGGANNNNNNNNNNNNNNNNNNNNNNNNNNUAAAAAUGAAAAGACAGAGAACUAUAACUCAGAUGAGGGAGAAAGGAAAAACCCCAGAAAAUCAGCUAAGCAAUGAGGAGAUUCUCAGCCUCUAGAAAAAAGACUUUAGAUUGUUGAUGCUGAAGACGAUGAAAGACAUUGGAAAUAAACUGGAGGCAAAGAUGGAUAA
rnacentral:lncRNA from 1 species